GUAAUUGUAUUGCGUUAAACGCGACAUACAUUCCAUGAGACUGUAUUACGGUGUGUGUGUAAAGACGUAGGACCGCAGCAAGAGGACGGGAGUCCCCAAGGCCACAGAACUACAGAGGGUGCACAGGUGUGAGUGGAUGUGUAAACAGAGCGUGCACAUGCCCCCUUUCGAGGACCAGCAACAACUCGUGUCGACAGUUCAGUAAUGAUCCUUCCGCAGGUUCACCUACGGAAA
rnacentral:misc_RNA from 1 species